CUUUUUAGCUAGAGUAUGAUAGAGGAAAGCAGAAUUUCUAGUGUAGAGGUGAAAUUCGUAGAUAUUAGAAAGAAUACCAAUUGCGAAGGCAGCUUUCUGGAUCAUUACUGACACUGAGGAACGAAAGCAUGGGUAGCGAAGAGGAUUAGAUACCCUCGUAGUCCAUGCCGUAAACGAUGUGUGUUAGACGUUGGAAAUUUAUUUUCUGUGUCGCAGCGAAAGCAAUAAACACACCGCCUGGGGAGUACGACCGCAAGGUUAAAACUCAAAUGAAUUGACGGGGACCCGCACAAGUAGUGGAGCAUGUGGUUUAAUUCGAAGAUACGCGCAGAACCUUACCAACACUUGACAUGUUCGUCGCGACUUUAAGAGAUUAAAGUUUUCGGUUCGGCCGGACGAAACACAGGUGCUGCAUGGCUGUCGUCAGCUCGUGUCGUGAGAUGUUGGGUUAAGUCCCGCAACGAGCGCAACCCUCACUUUUAGUUGCCAUCAUUUAGUUGGGCACUCUGAAAGAACUGCCAGUGAUAAGCUGGAGGAAGGUGGGGAUGACGUCAAGUCCUCAUGGCCCUUACGUGUUGGGCUACACACGUGCUACAAUGGCAUUUACAAUAGGAAGCAAGACGGCGACGUUAAGCAAAUCCUAAAAAAAUGCCUCAGUUCGGAUUGUACUCUGCAACUCGAGUACAUGAAGCUGGAAUUACUAGUAAUCGCGGAUCAGCGCGCCGCGGUGAAUACGUUCCCGGGUCUUGUACACACCGCCCGUCACACCAUGGGAGUUGGUUCUACCUUAAGGCAAAGCCUAAAAACUUUGACCACGGUAUAGUCAGCGACUGGGGUGAAGUCAUAACAAGGUAACCGUA
rnacentral:rRNA from 1 species